rnacentral:lncRNA from 1 species
CCAUAUAGCUAUUCGUUGUAGGCUCACAUAACAGCAGGGAUUCAUUCGAGUACACCUACAUCCCAGGCAAUAGGUAAGUUUGUAAAAAGGUUGUCAUGUCAAUCUUUAUUGUAAUGUCAGAAUAACUGACCCUACAAAUCUGAAGAGAGAUGAAAUUUCAAAUUUUACCCGCGGAUCCAAUUCCACGAGGUUACUGACCAACAUUUUAGCCAGACUACAC